rnacentral:sRNA from 1 species
AUUUGAAAGCUGGCCCCUUUGGGGGUCCGCGUUGUAAUUUGUAGAGGAUGAUUCGGCGAGGGCUCCCGCCUAAGUCCCCUGGAACGGGGCGUCAUAGAGGGUGAGAAUCCCGUAUGCGGUGGGCUGCCUUAGCCAUGUGAAUCUCCUUCGACGAGUCGAGUUGUUUGGGAAUGCAGCUCUAAAUGGGAGGUAAAUUUCUUCUAAAGCUAAAUACCGGCCAGAGACCGAUAGCGCACAAGUAGAGUGAUCGAAAGAUGAAAAGCACUUUGGAAAGAGAGUUAAAAAGUACGUGAAAUUGUUGAAAGGGAAGCGCUUGCAGCCAGACUUGUCCGCAGUUGCUCAGCCGGUCUCCUGACCGGCGCACUCUUCUGCGGCCAGGCCAGCAUCAGUUCGGGCGGUCGGAUAAAGGCCCCGGGAACGUAGCUCCUCUCGGGGAGUGUUAUAGCCCGGGGUGGAAUGCGGCCAGCCUGGACUGAGGAUCUCGCUUCGGCUAGGAUGCUGGCGUAAUGGCUGUAAGCGGCCCGUCUUGAAACACGGACCAAGGAGUCUAACAUCUAUGCGAGUGUUUGGGUGUCAAACCCAUGCGCGUAAUGAAAGUGAACGGAGGUGGGAACCCUCGCGGGUGCACCAUCGACCGAUCCUGAUGUCUUCGGAUGGAUUUGAGUAAGAGCAUAGCUGUUGGGACCCGAAAGAUGGUGAACUAUGCCUGAAUAGGGUGAAGCCAGAGGAAACUCUGGUGGAGGCUCGCAGCGGUUCUGACGUGCAAAUCGAUCGUCAAAUUUGGGUAUAGGGGCGAAAGACUAAUCGAACCAUCGACUACUAGGUGGUUAAGAGGUGGCUGAAAGUGCCCACCUAGUCCCCCCGUCCUCGGACGGGGGGGCGACAUCGCCAAAUUGCGGGGACUCCCUUAGAGCCUCUACUACCGCGGCCGGCCGAAAGGCGCGGUGCAGCACCGGGUUAAUUGCCUAGGGUACGGUAAAAAGGUAGAGGAUUGGGAAAUCCGCAGCCAAGCGCCUAAGUCCCGCGGGAUACGGCGAAGGUUCAGAGACUAGAUGGCGGUGGGU